AGUGAACGCUGGCGGUAGGCCUAACACAUGCAAGUCGAACGGCAGCACAGUAAGAGCUUGCUCUUACGGGUGGCGAGUGGCGGACGGGUGAGGAAUACAUCGGAAUCUACUUUUUCGUGGGGGAUAACGUAGGGAAACUUACGCUAAUACCGCAUACGACCUACGGGUGAAAGCAGGGGAUCUUCGGACCUUGCGCGAUUGAAUGAGCCGAUGUCGGAUUAGCUAGUUGGCGGGGUAAAGGCCCACCAAUGCGACGAUCCGUAGCUGGUCUGAGAGGAGGAUCACCCAAACUGGAACUGAGACACGGUCCAGACUCCUACGGGAGGCAGCAGUGGGGAAUAUUGGACAAUGGGCGCAAGCCUGAUCCAGCCAUACCGCGUGGGUGAAGAAGGCCUUCGGGUUGUAAAGACCUUUUGUUGGGAAAGAAAAGCAGCAGGUUAAUACCCCGCUGUUCUGACGGUACCCAAAGAAUAAGCACCGGCUAACUUCGUG
rnacentral:rRNA from 1 species